rnacentral:rRNA from 3 species
UGUACGACUCUCGGCAACGGAUAUCUAGGCUCUCGCAUCGAUG